UCCCCGCUGGAGCGGCGACGUCUCCCCUUGCAUUCCCCCUUCAGUCGUUGGCACAAGAGCAGCCUUGGCCGCCCGCGGGUUUCCUGUGUUGCAUACCUACCGGAAGGAAUUCGGUCGUCCCAAACGCUUGACGUUCUCCCAGCGCUGCGCUGCCCCUCGGUGGUGCGGCGUGGGGUGAACCGCGAAGGCGAGUUCGUGCUCCGAGCCGCAGCCGCACGGCCGCGCCUCGCCCACGAGCUGCCGCCUGAGCCCUCGGAUGCGGAACACCGGGAGGGCAGGAGGCGCUCUCUUCCUCCGUUUGCCCGAAAUCGGCGUCAAUCGCCCGCAUCGAACGACUGCCGUCGUCGCCUCGAGACGCCGCCCGUCGGCCUCGUGCGGCGCCGGUGUCGGUUA
rnacentral:misc_RNA from 1 species